AGUGGAUGAAAACAUCCCCAACAGUACAUAAGGUUUAAUAUUGUAAUGAUAAAACCAGUGCAACAUAAGACUUUUUGUGGUCCAGAGUCACAAAUAAUGUAAACACAAGAACAUUUGACCAAAUCUUUGUGUGAUCAACAACACUUAUUUGCAUUCAGAUGUUCUGCACUUUUUGUGUGUUUAGUUUUAUCAUAAUCACUUAUAAUAUAUUUGAUGUAACCAAUGGCAAAGCAGCAUGGAAAUAAAAGAGCUAGUUUCAGGUAGAAAAACAACUCUUAAAGGCAGGACUCUGCUCUAAUAUUGAGUACUUGGUCAUGGUCCAAGGCUUGUGCUUUGAUAUCUGCCCUGCCCCAUAUAAUUCACAAACAAGCCUGAGGUGCACAGUCCUCUCUCAGACAGAAGACGCUCUAUAGCCUCUAUCACUGCACAUGUUGGUUUGCAUAUCUGAGGCAAAAAAAAAAAAAUAGCUUAGAUGCCGUCAUGAACAAUUUGAGAGUUCACCAUGGCAACAAAAGCCCAGUCCUAGAAUAGCAACAGCAUAGAGACAAGUGUGAUGAGUGUGAUUAUUGCUGCAUGCUCUUGCAAAACACAAUUAUUUCUGCUUGGUGCUUCUGGUUACAUUUCAAUCCAGAUGAUUAUUUAGCAAUAGUUAACUGGAGUGAUUGGUGAAUGAUGGAAACCUUUAUUCAUGGAGUAAUUUUUUGAGUGUAUUGUGGUUCUAACUUAAAUAUUUAAAGGACUAUGUUAACAAUUUAUAAUUCAGAAUUAAAUACUUCACAGAGGGGUGGGCUGGGCCAAUAAACAAUAUAUCGAAUCGCAAUAAAAUUUAUGUCAAUAAAAAUGAUAAGCUCUGGACUUUUUUUUUUUUAAUCCAUAUUGAUCCAAGAGCCAAUCACACAGCAGAAACGUGCAAGUGUUAUGACAUUAGGUACUGAAUUUCAUGUCGCCAAAAAUUUAUCAGCUGAAAAUAUGUUAUGCUAUUUAAUGGAUCCUCUAAUUUUAUGUGGCUUCAGUGUUGGGGUAACAAUGUGUUAAAGUAAUAACAGUGUAUUAAAUCUGGAAGCAUAACAACUUAUAUCGAAAUAUAUAUUGUUAUCGUUCAUUAUGGAAAAUAGUUAUUAAGAUUGCAUUUUUGCCUUAUCUCCCAGCCCUACAGUGGGGUGUAUAGUACAAAUGUGGCAUUUAUUAUUAUUUUUUUCUUUUAUGUUUUUUUUUUUUUUUUUUUAAAUAAAUGCUACUUUUCUAGGUAUUUUGUUUGUGCUGAGAUAUGUAAGUCAUGGAUAAGUAUAAUAAUAAAACCUUUUUACAUAAUUAUUUGUUAAAAUUAUUUGUUCACAAGGCUGAAUCUUUCAGUGCUUCAGUAGCAUGUCGUGUUUGAAACUGCCCUCUAUACCCACUAAUAUAUCUAAUGCCAUUUGUAGUGGUGUCGGAAACCAUAGUGCAGGGGUGUCCAAACUUGGUUCUGGAGGAUUGCUAUCCUGCAUAGUUAAGCUUCAACUUCCUUCAACACACUUUCCUGGAAGUUUUAGUAUACCAAGAAAGAGCUUUAUUAGGUUCCUCCAGGACCGAGUUUGGGCACCCCUGCCAUAGCACAAGUGCACUCAUUCAGUCUCAUACAACUAACAGAUGAAGAAUACUUAUAAUGCAAUUUGAUGGCAAGGCAUUAGCAUCUCAUCAGAAGAUGGUGCUAAUUUAUCCAGUCAUUGUCUAAACAACUGGCUCAUUGUGGGAACACAGGGUUUCCGCAGGGUCUUAAAAAGUCAAAAUGUCUUAACUUUUGAAAACAAAAUUUUAGGCCUUAAAAAGUCUGACUAAAAUAUUGUCUUGUAGGUCUUAAAUCCUUUUAAACAAGUCCUAAUUUUCAUCUGUCAAUGUCUCCAAUCACCAACAAUACAUCUCAAAAACAUUCAACCAACAUCUACAUAUUAAUAUGCAUACAUAAAAUUAGGAUUUGCUUGUUUUGACACAUUACUUAAAAUAUGUGGCAUAGAAAUAACUAAUUAGAUUUUUUUGGAGGAGACAAGUAAACCUCUUUUCCACUUUACCAACCAGGGGAAAAAAUAGUGUUUAGUCCUGUAAAAGUCUGAAAUUUCAUUCAUAACAGUCUUAAAACUUUGUGAAACCUGUAGAAACCCUAGAACAGCAUAAUAUUAGGCCCUUUGUGUGUUUAAAUUCUCUUUUAAUUGAUUAGUAAAUUAUUUAACUAAGGUUAAACUUUCUUAUUUUCAAGAUAAUUUUAAGAUAAAUCUGUCUAUCUCUAAUUGUAACGGCCAGUUUGCUGGUGUGUUUGAAUUCACACACAAUUACAUUCAUUUACUCCUUCAAGUGGCCUUUAGUGGACUAAUUUGAACGAGGGUAUAGAGUGUGACUUUUGAACGCAGCCUGCUUACGAAAUUGCAUACCUUUUUACUAUACAAGUGAAGUACAGUAUGUAACAGGAUAAGUAUAACUGAAUUCUAAAAGGACAGAGGAUAUAUUACAUGUAGUACAUUCAAUAAAAUUCAUACUUUUCAUAUUUACACUAUUUAAUGCAUACUUUUAGUGUUUUUUUUUUUAAAGUAACUGCCUACUUAAAAGGUAAUAUCUGAUUUCAGAUGCAGUUUUUAUGGAAUGGAUCAUCGUUCGUUUGUAGUAUUGCUCUGAAAUGCACAAAUAUUCUUCAUUUUAGUAUUUGUCUUGAAAUGACUACAUACUUAAGCACCCUUAUAUAUCAGAAAUCUCCCCAGAAAUUCUGAGAUUUUUAAAAUGCAUCUCGAUUGGAUUAUGGGUUUAGUUUUUACCAUCAGAUGGCGCUGUAGACAAGUUUUUAACCGUAAACGCAAAUGCUCACUAGGAAGAGUGCCUGUGCAUUCGGCUAGUCAUUUCUGUAAAAGACAAGACGUGGGUGCAACAGUCAAUACGUCCAUCUAAAAAAGAAAUAGGAAGUGCGGGAAUGCAGAAAACACAUAAGCAGGUUCCUUCUGACGAUGCAAAUAUGAUCAGUAUCAAAGAUGCUCACCAGAAUGACCAGCCAUAGUCCCAUGUGUGAGGCCUCCAGUCUUCAGGUCCCAAGCUGACUGUAAUCUGGAACACUUGUGUGUACAUCAUGUGGGCCACCAUUCCCAGAAGACCUGUUGAGUAAUCCACAUGUCCACUGGAAUUAAAGAGGAGCAUUAAGGCCCCAAAUGAAAAGGGCUAUUGGGUAUUCAGCAAAUCAAAUAAUCAAAAAUUCAAAAAGCAGCAGCUGUUCUGGCUUUAUAAAUGUGAGGGUUUACCCACAAUGCAUCUGAUAUUAAGUAAAACGUUUAAUUCUGUGAAAUAUUGUUUUAUAAAUCUUAUGUUUUUUUUUUUAAAUAAAAUGUAAUGGAAAAGCUGAAGAUUUAGAA